UUGACUUUUGAGGAACCUGGGCUAAAGUGCUCUGUGGUGAGUGGGGAAUGAAGCACAAGUGAAAGCCUCUUUCCAUGGCUUGAAAGACCCUUCUGUAGCAAAGAGGAAUCACCAGAGCUUUCUCACCAGUUUUCCCACAUGUGAAUCAGUAGCACAGCAAAGGCGUCUGGCACAAGCUGAUGAACACCAGUCUGGGAAGAAAUGUGAUGUGUAAACCUCAGAAGCUUUGAGGUACGGAAGGUGCAGAUUCCAGCAUCAAUGUUACAUGGAACCUUUGGGUUGAGAUGUGGGUCUGAAUGGCAAAAAUGAAGGCUGCAGAUAUGAAACGUAUCUGACUUCACAAAACAUGCCUCUUUUUGGAGUGAUUGUGCAGAAGUGCCUUACUGAGACAGACAAGAUUAAACCACCCGUUACCGAGAAGGUUGAAGGAGCGCUGUAG
rnacentral:lncRNA from 1 species